AACGAACGCUGGCGGCAUGCCUAACACAUGCAAGUCGAACGAGACCUUCGAGUCUAGUGGCGCACGGGUGCGUAACGCGUGGGAACCUGCCCUUAGGUUCGGAAUAACUCCCCGAAAGGGGUGCUAAUACCGGAUAAUGUCUUCGGACCAAAGAUUUAUCGCCUUUGGAUGGGCCCGCGUUGGAUUAGCUAGUUGGUAGGGUAAAAGCCUACCAAGGCGACGAUCCAUAGCUGGUCUGAGAGGAUGAUCAGCCACACUGGGACUGAGACACGGCCCAGACUCCUACGGGAGGCAGCAGUGGGGAAUAUUGGACAAUGGGCGAAAGCCUGACGCAGCAAUGCCGCGUGAGUGAUGAAGGCCUUAGGGUUGUAAAGCUCUUUUACCCGGGAUGAUAAUGACAGUACCGGGAGAAUAAGCUCCGGCUAACUCCGUG
rnacentral:rRNA from 1 species